rnacentral:rRNA from 1 species
GUGGGGAAUAUUGCGCAAUGGGCGGAAGCCUGACGCAGCGACGCCGCGUGGGGGAUGACGGCCUUCGGGUUGUAAACCUCUUUCGGCCCCGACGAAGCGUGAGUGACGGUAGGGGUAGAAGAAGCACCGGCCAACUACGUGCCAGCAGCCGCGGUAAUACGUAGGGUGCGAGCGUUGUCCGGAAUUAUUGGGCGUAAAGAGCUCGUAGGCGGUGUGUCGCGUCGGCCGUGAAAACCUGCAGCUUAACUGUGGGCUUGCGGUCGAUACGGGCAUCACUGGAGUUCGGCAGGGGAGACUGGAAUUCCUGGUGUAGCGGUGAAAUGCGCAGAUAUCAGGAGGAACACCGGUGGCGAAGGCGGGUCUCUGGGCCGAUACUGACGCUGAGGAGCGAAAGCGUGGGGAGCGAACAGGAUUAGAUACCCUUGUAGUCC